GGUUGUGUAGUGUAAUGGUUAGCACAUCAGAUUCUGAUUCUGGUAAUCCCGGUUCGAUCCCGAGCACGACCU
rnacentral:tRNA from 2 species